GCCUGGGUGGCUCAGUCGGUUAAGCAUCUGACUUAGGCUCAGGUUAUGAUCUCGGGGUUUAUGGGUUCGAGCUCCAUGUCGGGCU
rnacentral:tRNA from 1 species